GAUGAAGAACGCAGCGAAAUGCGAUAAGUAGUGUGAAUUGCAGAAUUCCGUGAAUCAUCGAAUCUUUGAACGCACAUUGCGCCCCUUGGUAUUCCAUGGGGCAUGCCUGUUCGAGCGUCAUUUGUACCUUCAAGCUUUGCUUGGUGUUGGGUGUUUGUCCAUUCUCUUGCAGAGGGACUCGCCUUAAAGUAAUUGGCAGCCAGUGUUUUGGUUUUGAAGCGCAGCACAAGUCGCGAUUCAACGCUAUACGCCAGCUUCCACAAGCCUUUUUCACUUUUGACCUCGGAUCAGGUAGGGAUACCCGCUGAACUUAAGCAUAUCAAUAAGCGGAGGA
rnacentral:misc_RNA from 1 species